GCGAUGCACAUACGGUAGAAAUUCCGUAGCCUCUAUCAAUUUAAACACAGGGACACUUUUGAAGGGUUCAGCCGGGCGAUGGUUGCCCCGGUCGUAAGGGACUGCAAAUGAGCGGGAAGUGAAUUUGGAAGAAGGCGAGAAAAGCUGUGUGAAUAGAAGAUAGAGCCCGUACCGCAAACCGACACAGGUAGAUAGGAAGAAGAUUCUAAGGCCAACGGGAGAAGGGUUGUUAAGGAACUCGGCAAGUUGACCCCGUAACUUAGGGAGAAGGGGUGCUCUUUAAGGAGAGCCGCAGAGAAUAGGCCCAAGCGACUGUUUAGCAAAAACACAGCUCUAUGCUAAAUCGAAAGAUGACGUAUAUGGGGUGACACCUGCCCGGUGCCGGAAGGUUAAGAGGAGGAGUGAGAGCUCUGAAUUGAAGCCCCGGUAAACGGCGGCCGUAACAAUAACGGUCCUAAGGUAGCGAAAUUCCUUGUCAGGUAAGUUCUGACCCGCACGAAUGGUGUAACGAUUUGGGCACUGUCUCAACAACCUGCCCGGCGAAAUUGUAGUACCGGUGAAGAUGCCGGUUACCCGCGACUAGACGGAAAGACCCCAUGGAGCUUUACUGCAGCUUAAUAUUGAAUUUCGGUAUUUCAUGUACAGGAUAGGUGGGAGACAGGGAACCGUAGGCGUCAGCUUAUGGGGAGUCGACCUUGGGAUACCACUCUUGAGGUGCUGGAAUUCUAACCUGUGGCUCUGAAUCGAGUCAGGGGACAUUGUUAGGCGGGCAGUUUGACUGGGGCGGUCGCCUCCAAAAAGGUAACGGAGGCGCUCAAAGGUUCGCUCAGCAUGGAUGGAAACCAUGCUUUUGAGUGUAAACGCAAAAGCGAGCCUAACUGCGAGACUGACGGGUCGAGCAGUAACGAAAGUUGGAGUUAGUGAUCCGGCGGUAUGUGAGUGGAAAUGCCGUCGCUCAACGGAUAAAAGCUACCCUGGGGAUAACAGGCUGAUCUCCCCCAAGAGUCCACAUCGACGGGGAGGUUUGGCACCUCGAUGUCGGCUCAUCGCAUCCUGGGGCUGAAUUCGGUCCCAAGGGUUUGGCUGUUCGCCAAUUAAAGCGGUACGCGAGCUGGGUUCAGAACGUCGUGAGACAGUUCGGUCCCUAUCUGUCGUGGGCGUAGGAUAUUUGAAAGGAGCUGUCCCUAGUACGAGAGGACCGGGAUGGACGCACCGCUGGUGCACCAGUUGUCAUGCCAAUGGCACAGCUGGGCAGCUAUGUGCGGAACGGAUAAACGCUGAAGGCAUCUAAGCGUGAAGCCGACCUUAAGAUAAGAUAUCCCUUCGUAAGAGUAAGACCUCUCAUAGACUAUGAGUUUGAUAGGCCUAAGGUGUAAGCACAGUGAUGUGUUCAGCCUGCAGGUACUAAUCGGUCGAGGGCUUUUCU
rnacentral:rRNA from 1 species